UACGAAGGGGGCUAGCGUUGCUCGGAAUCACUGGGUGUAAAGGGUGCGCAGGCGGAUUGGCAAGUCAGAGGUGAAAUCUCACGGCUCAACCGUGAAACUGCCUUUGAUACUGCUGAUCUUGAGUUAGGGAGAGGUUGAUGGAAUUCUAGGUGUAGCGGUGAAAUGCGUAGAUAUCUAGAAGAACACCAGUGGCGAAGGCGGUCAACUGGCCCUAAACUGACGCUCAGGCACGAAAGCGUGAGGAUCAAACAGG
rnacentral:rRNA from 1 species